GAGUGUGGGUUAAGUCCCGCAACGAGCGCAACCCUUAUCGUUAGUUGCCAGCGGGUAAUGCCGGGAACUCUAGCGAAACUGCCGGUGUAAACCGUGAGGAAGGUGGGAUGACGUCAAAUCAGCACGGCCCUUAUGUCCAGGGCUACACACGUGUUACAAUGGCCGGUACAGAGGGCAGCUACCUGGAGACAGGAUGCGAAUCUCGAAAGCCGGUCUCAGUUCGGAUCGGAGUCUGCAACUCGACUCCGUGAAGCUGGAUUCGCUAGUAAUCGCGCAUCAGCCAUGGCGCGGUGAAUACGUUCCCGGGCCUU
rnacentral:rRNA from 1 species